GGACAUGGAGUGGGCAGCUAAUAAUGUGGUUUUUAUUCUUUUUACUGUCCUUGUCAGACAAACUGCACGUUAUGGCCAGUGGUCUUGUAUGUUUUCUUUAGCUGGCUGCAGCCCUCAUCCUCCUGUGCCACUCCUUGAGGCCUACAGCAGAGCUGAUUGGCUCAUCAAUUGUCAGCUCCACCAAUCCCUGACAAGGCCUCCCUUUUUAAACCCAGACUUCCUGGGAGAAGGUGUAGUUGAUUCUUUGUUGAGACAGCUUGCCAUGAUAUUGGGUGUCUGACUGCUUUAAAGUAGCUUUGUCUUUUUGUAAACCUUGUUCCCAGCCUUGAUAGCUUUGUCCCUGUGGGGGGUUUUGUAUGUAAGCUUCUAGCAGCCUACUAAAGUUUUAUACUUUGAUUGUUUUUGUUUAACCUUUAUGGUCCAAUUUUGUUAAGAUUUUUGGUUUACAACUCUGAUUGUUUUGUGGAUUUUGUUUUAAUUAGUACUUUUGGUUAUACAACCCUAACUUGAUUGUUGUUGAUUUUCACCUUUUUAUUUUCUUAAACCCAAGCAAUAAAUCCCAACUGUUAAACCCUUAA